UACAGAGGUGGCAAGCGUUGUUCGGAAUUACUGGGCGUAAAGGGCGCGUAGGCGGUUCGUUAAGUCCUGUGUGAAAUCCCCCGGCUCAACUGGGGAACUGCACAGGAAACUAGCGGGCUUGAGUUCGGGAGAGGGAAGCGGAAUUCCGGGUGUAGCGGUGAAAUGCGUAGAUAUCCGGAGGAACACCGGUGGCGAAGGCGGCUUCCUGGACCGACACUGACGCUGAGGCGCGAAAGCUAGGGGAGCGAAUGGG
rnacentral:rRNA from 1 species